ACAGAAGAUGUGUUUUCUCUUUUAUAGUUGUGACAGAACAUGGACGUUCUAGAUUGUUCCAUUGUACAAUUAUAUAAGAAAUCCUUGUGGAUUAUAUUACCAAGCUUUACUAUGAGAAAUAGGCUUCUAACAGCAAACUAUAGCAUUGAAGAACACACACGUAGGCCUCAUUCAUAUCACUCUGCUGCUCCAUCAUCAGUAUUAAAUAGGUCCUCACACAGUGAGGGGAGGGGAGGUGUGGCUGUACAGCCAGUGCUCUCGCCCAAACAGAAAUCAGACAUAGAUCAGGUGAUGUUGUCUUGAUGGGAGGGGCUGCUCUCACUGAGGAGACAACGUGGAUCUAAAAAAUGAAUUUUUCUCACACUUCCUGCAUAUACAUGAAUGUGGUGGACUACGUCAGAUUCAGUGAACUGCGACGAUGACCAGAGUUUUUAAAAUUUCAAUAAAAUGGUUAACAAGGGCUGUGGGGAAGUGUUUUUUUAAAUAAAAAAUUUCAAUUUUUUUUCAGGCUUAGUAGUGGAAGCUGUCUUAUAGACGGAAUCCAUUACUAAGCCGGGGCUUAGAGUUAGCCUCAAAAUCAGCUAGCGCUAACAUUAGGCUGUUGCUGCUUGGUUGGUAUCUGGCUGAAACUGAAAAUAGAGGGGAAAAGCUGAGGUGUAUUUGCUGGUGGACAAAAAAUUUCAAUGAAAUCCUGGCCUCAAAGCAAUAAAACAAAAUCCCUGUGUCCACUUUUCCUGUGAGGUGCAGCUCA